UGAGGAAUAUUGGUCAAUGGGCGAGAGCCUGAACCAGCCAAGUAGCGUGAAGGAUGACUGCCCUAUGGGUCGUAAACUUCUUUUAUAAAGGAAUAAAGUCGAGUAUGGAUACCCGUUUGCAUGUACUUUAUGAAUAAGGAUCGGCUAACUCCGUGCCAGCAGCCGCGGUAAUACGGAGGAUCCGAGCGUUAUCCGGAUUUAUUGGGUUUAAAGGGAGCGUAGAUGGAUGUUUAAGUCAGUUGUGAUAUUUUGCGUCUCAACCGUAAAAUUGCUGUUGAUACUUGAUUUUUUGAGUGCAGUUGAGGCAGGCGGAAUUCGUGGUGUAGCUGUGAAAUGCUUAGAUAUCACGAAGAACUCCGAUUGCGAAGGCAGCCUGCUAAGCUGCAACUGACAUUGAGGCUCGAAAGUGUGGGUAUCGAACAGG
rnacentral:rRNA from 1 species